GUGGGGAAUCUUAGACAAUGGGCGCAAGCCUGAUCUAGCCAUGCCGCGUGAGCGAUGAAGGCCUUAGGGUUGUAAAGCUCUUACGUGGGGGAAGAUAAUGACUGUACCCCAAGAAGAAGCCCCGGCUAACUCCGUGCCAGCAGCCGCGGUAAUACGGAGGGGGCUAGCGUUGUUCGGAAUUACUGGGCGUAAAGCGCACGUAGGCGGACUGGAAAGUCAGGGGUGAAAUCCCGGGGCUCAACCCCGGAACUGCCUUUGAAACUCCCAGUCUUGAGUUCGAGAGAGGUGAGUGGAAUUCCGAGUGUAGAGGUGAAAUUCGUAGAUAUUCGGAGGAACACCAGUGGCGAAGGCGGCUCACUGGCUCGAUACUGACGCUGAGGUGCGAAAGCGUGGGGAGCAAACAGGAUUAGAAACCCCUGUAGUCC
rnacentral:rRNA from 1 species